rnacentral:rRNA from 1 species
GACGAACGAUGGCGGCGUGCUUAACACAUGCAAGUCGAACGGAAAGGCCCUGCUUUUGUGGGGUGCUCGAGUGGCGAACGGGUGAGUAACACGUGAGUAACCUGCCCUUGACUUUGGGAUAACUUCAGGAAACUGGGGCUAAUACCGGAUAGGAGCUCCUGCUGCAUGGUGGGGGUUGGAAAGUUUCGGCGGUUGGGGACGGACUCGCGGCUUAUCAGCUUGUUGGUGGGGUAGUGGCUUACCAAGGCUUUGACGGGUAGCCGGCCUGAGAGGGUGACCGGCCACAUUGGGACUGAGAUACGGCCCAGACUCCUACGGGAGGCAGCAGUGGGGAAUAUUGCACAAUGGGCGGAAGCCUGAUGCAGCAACGCCGCGUGCGGGAUGACGGCCUUCGGGUUGUAAACCGCUUUCGCCUGUGACGAAGCGUGAGUGACGGUAAUGGGUAAAGAAGCACCGGCUAACUACGUGCCAGCAGCCGCGGUGAUACGUAGGGUGCGAGCGUUGUCCGGAUUUAUUGGGCGUAAAGGGCUCGUAGGUGGUUGAUCGCGUCGGAAGUGUAAUCUUGGGGCUUAACCCUGAGCGUGCUUUCGAUACGGGUUGACUUGAGGAAGGUAGGGGAGAAUGGAAUUCCUGGUGGAGCGGUGGAAUGCGCAGAUAUCAGGAGGAACACCAGUGGCGAAGGCGGUUCUCUGGGCCUUUCCUGACGCUGAGGAGCGAAGGCGUGGGGAGCGAACAGGCUUAGAUACCCUGGUAGUCCACGCUGUAAACGGUGGGUACUAGGUGUGGGGUCCAUUCCACGGGUUCCGUGCCGUAGCUAACGCUUUAAGUACCCCGCCUGGGGAGUACGGCCGCAAGGCUAAAACUCAAAGGAAUUGACGGGGCCCCGCACAAGCGGCGGAGCAUGCGGAUUAAUUCGAUGCAACGCGUAGAACCUUACCUGGGUUUGACAUGGAUCGGGAGUGCUCAGAGAUGGGUGUGCCUCUUUUGGGGUCGGUUCACAGGUGGUGCAUGCCUGUCGUCAGCUCGUGUCGUGAGAUGUUGGGUUAAGUCCCGCAACGAGCGCAACCCUUGUUCACUGUUGCCAGCACGUUAUGGUGGGGACUCAGUGGAGACCGCCGGGGUCAACUCGGAGGAAGGUGGGGAUGACGUCAAGUCCUCAUGCCCCUUAUGUCCAGGGCUUCACGCAUGCUACAAUGGCUGGUACAGAGAGUGGCGAGCCUGUGAGGGUGAGCGAAUCUCGGAAAGCCGGUCUCAGUUCGGAUUGGGGUCUGCAACUCGACCCCAUGAAGUCGGAGUCGCUAGUAAUCGCAAAUCAGCAACGCUGCGGUGAAUACGUUCCCGGG